rnacentral:snRNA from 1 species
UACUAUUCCGAUAAAGCUAA